GAGUACUAGGUGUCGGGUGAAGAACUCGGUGCCGAAGUUAACACAUUAAGUACUCCGCCUGGGGAGUACGCUCGCAAGAGUAAAACUCAAAGGAAUUGACGGGGACCCGCACAAGCAGCGGAGCAUGUGGUUUAAUUCGAAGCAACGCGAAGAACCUUACCUAAACUUGACAUACCAAUGACAGCCUUUUAAUCGAGGACUUUUACCUUCGGGUAGACAAUGGAUACAGGUGGUGCAUGGCUGUCGUCAG
rnacentral:rRNA from 1 species